GCGGGCGUGGCGAAAUUGGUAGACGCGCUUGGUUUAGGUCCAAGUGGGAAACCGUGGGGGUUCGAGUCCCUCCGCCCGCACCA
rnacentral:tRNA from 1 species